rnacentral:rRNA from 1 species
AUGAGAGAUACCAUGGUGGCGACCAGAUUCACACUGCGGCAAGUGGUGGAGGACCGGGCAACGAGGGAACUUCAUCACGGUAGAUGCGUUGGGGGGCUCUACCCCAUCACAUCCGGAGCACUCAGUCGCAAUCGGCGUCAAGUUUAUUCUGCCACUAAACCCUCCUUAGAAAGGUGGCAUCAAAGAUUAGGACACCCAUCAUCAAUCAUAGUUAAGCAAGUAGUCAAUAAAGACAAACUUUCUUUGUCACAUAGUCAAAAUAGUGAGUCAGUUUGUGAAGCUUGCCAGUGUGCCAAGAGCCACCAACUUCCUUAUCCCAAGUCAAAUAGUGUAUCUCAUGCUCCUUUAGAGCUUAUU